rnacentral:snRNA from 1 species
AGAUGUGAAGAUGAUCUAGCUGCAAUAUUGAUUGCCAGAGCUGAUUUGACCAAUCUGGCUGGCUAGGCAGGUUUCCCCUUCCUCCCUCACUACUCCAUGUGUGUCCUUCCCAAAGCUCUGUGCGCAGUGGAAGAGGACAACCAUACCAGAUAGAAGGAGUGUGCCGUUCUUUCAUUAAGGGUAUAUAAUAGCUGUGUUCCCCUGCUAGAACAGGGGAUCUGACCAAUAUGGUAAGGUCUGCAUGACACCACUAAAGCCAUGUGAAGUUUGAUCUGUCACAU